rnacentral:lncRNA from 1 species
UAGAGCCCUAUAAAGCAGCCCCAUAGAGCCCUAUAGGGCAGCCCCAUACCCUGCCCCAUAGCUCAGCCCUAUAGCCCCAUACCCUGCCCCAUAGAGCCCCAUAGCCCUGCCCCAUAGCCCCCCUAUAGGGCAGCCCCAUAGCCCCCAUAGAGCCCUAUAGAGCAGCCCCAUAGAGCCCUAUAGGGCAGCCCCAUACCCAGCCCCACAUCGCUGUGCCCCGUGGCCACGCCCCCUAUUCAUAAGCCCCGCCCCCUCCUUAUUUAUAACCCCACCCCUUAUUCAUAAUCCCAGCCCUCUCAUUGGUUCAGCCCAUUUAAAGCCCCGCCCCUUAUUCAUAAGCCCCGCCCCCGUCCAUUCAUAAGCCCCGCCCCUAUUCAUAAUCCCAGCCCUCUCAUUGGCCCAGCCCAUUUCUAAAGCCCCGCCCACUAUUUCUAAGCCCCUCCCCCUUCUAUUGUCUGUCUCGUGCCGUGAUUGUGACGUAACGCGCGUUGAGGGGGCGGGGCGUGGGGAGCGGCAGCCAAUAAACGGAGAGAACCCGUCGUGACCCCGCCCCCCCUCGAUUCGUGACGUCAUUUAAGCGCGCGGCGCCGUCUGAUGACGUCAGUGUCAUGGCGGACUACCUGGGUUUGACGGACGCGGAGCUGCUGAGGAAGCUGCGGAGGGGGAGAGAGGGCCCCACGCGCAACCUGUACCACCUGAAGGUCGUGGAGUACGAGAGACAACGGCGCUGCCGGGGGGGGACAGGUGGGUGCCCCAUAACUGCCCCAUAACCACCCCAUAGCUGCCCCAUAGAUACCCCAUAGCUGCCCCAUAGCUGCCCCAUAGNNNNNNNNNNNNNNNNNNNNNNNNNAUACCGCCAUAGCUGCCCGCAUAGCUGCCUUAUAGAUACCUAUAGCUCGCCCAUAACCACCCAUCAGCCUGCCCAUAAGAAAUACCACCAUGCUGCAAACCCAUUAACUAGCCCCCAUAGAUCACCCAUAGCUGCCCCAUAACCACCCAUAGCUGCCCAUAGAUCCCCAUAGCUUGCCCCCAUAGGAUAACCCAUAGCUGCCCGCAUUAGA